rnacentral:tRNA from 1 species
GGAGAGGUGUCCGAGUGGCCGAAGGAGCACGCUUGGAAAGCGUGUGUACUCUCAAGGUACCGAGGGUUCGAAUCCCUCCCUCUCCGCCA